UACAGAGGUCUCAAGCGUUGUUCGGAUUCAUUGGGCGUAAAGGGUGUGUAGGUGGCGCGCUAAGUCGGGUGUGAAAUUUCGGAGCUUAACUCCGAAACUGCAUUCGAUACUGGCGUGCUUGAGGACUGGAGAGGAGACUGGAAUUCAUGGUGUAGCAGUGAAAUGCGUAGAGAUCAUGAGGAAGACCAGUGGCGAAGGCGGGUCUCGUGGACAGUUCCUGACACUGAGACACGAAGGCCAGGGGAGCAAACGGG
rnacentral:rRNA from 1 species